UGUCCUACGGGGGGCAGCAGUGAGGAAUAUUGGUCAAUGGGCGGAAGCCUGAACCAGCCAAGUCGCGUGAGGGAAUAAGGCCCUACGGGUCGUAAACCUCUUUUGCCGGGGAGCAAGGGCCGGGACGCGUCCCGGCCCGGAGAGUACCCGGAGAAAAAGCAUCGGCUAACUCCGUGCCAGCAGCCGCGGUAAUACGGAGGAUGCGAGCGUUAUCCGGAUUUAUUGGGUUUAAAGGGUGCGCAGGCGGAAGAUCAAGUCAGCGGUAAAAUUGAGAGGCUCAACCUCUUCGAGCCGUUGAAACUGGU
rnacentral:rRNA from 1 species